rnacentral:lncRNA from 1 species
UGGAGGGGAGCAACAUAGUUGCACAGUAAUGUCCACAAAGUCCCACAUUAGCGGGGGAACCAGGUGGUACCGCCGGUGAUAUGAAACGACGAAGAACACCUGGACACGACGCAGAAAUGCGUCACGAUCGUCGCCCUGCAUUGCAACCUCGUCUGUGGUGCAAGGCAACCUCGCAUUUCGAGGCAGCACUCGUGUGAUGGCGACGGA